AUGUCAUUACUCCAUGUAAAUCCACGCUACAGUCGUCGUAGUUGGUUGUGGAGGUAGCGCAUUGGACGCUUGCGGAGAAGAGUACAUGAUAGAGUAGUGGAUAAUAUGUAAUUGAUAUGUUAUAUGAUAAAUAUUUGUAAUAUGAAGAACAUGUUAAAGUGAAUUCAUGUAUAAACAACUUUCUUGUAAGUGUAUAAUGAAGUGGAUCUAAUGUUUGUAUUUAAGGUACUUUUGAGAAAGGGUAAUUGUAUAAAGGAUGUAUUUGAACGGAAGUGUAAUGACAUGCUUUUGAAAUGAAAGGUGUUU